rnacentral:rRNA from 1 species
AUUGAACGCUGGCGGCAGGCCUAACACAUGCAAGUCGAGCGGAUGAAGGGAGCUUGCUCCUGGAUUCAGCGGCGGACGGGUGAGUAAUGCCUAGGAAUCUGCCUGGUAGUGGGGGAUAACGUCCGGAAACGGGCGCUAAUACCGCAUACGUCCUGAGGGAGAAAGUGGGGGAUCUUCGGACCUCACGCGAUCAGAUGAGCCUAGGUCGGAUUAGCUAGUUGGUGGGGUAAAGGCCUACCAAGGCGACGAUCCGUAACUGGUCUGAGAGGAUGAUCAGUCACACUGGAACUGAGACACGGUCCAGACUCCUACGGGAGGCAGCAGUGGGGAAUAUUGGACAAUGGGCGAACGCCUGAUCCAGCCAUGCCGCGUGUGAAGAAGGUCUUCGGAUUGUAAAGCACUUUAAGUUGGGAGGAAGGGCAGUAAGUUAAUACCUUGCUGUUUUGACGUUACCAACAGAAUAAGCACCGGCUAACUUCGUG